UCCCUUGUGGCUCAGUUGGUAGAGCAUGGUGUUUGCAACGCCAGGGUUGUGGGUUCAAUUCCCACGGGGGAC
rnacentral:tRNA from 1 species